ACGAAAUCCUCAGUUAAUUAUCCUUCGGGUGGAGUUUCCAGCCCGGAAACCCAGUCUCCCCGCGGUUGGAGAGAAGUGCCCUCCGUCCCUCCCGCCGCGAAGGCGCUGCCGGGGCUGAGGCAGAGCCCAGGAGCUCCCCCGGACCUGCCAGCUGCUGCAGGAGGAGUGAGAAGAACCCCAACCCGAGUACUGCUCCCCCCGAGACUAUUCUUACCCGAUGUUCACACAGAAACACAGACACAGGCCCAGUGAGGUCAGCUCAUUUUCCUGAGAGGCUCUGGCAGCGGCGCGUACCUCGUGUGCGGUGCCCAGCUCUUCGUGCAUGCAUUUCGCCAGCCGGGCAGCAGACGAAGUGGUGGUAUGAGGGGGGACCUUCUAAAAUCCCCCCCCGCGCCUUUAAACCGGGACAAAAGGCAGAAGCGCUCUCAAAGCUUAAGCCGCGUUUGCGAAUUCUCGGAGAGAGGCGGGUUCCUGUCGGGACGAAAGGGCCGGGGCCCGGGGGGAUACCCUGCGCGAAGCCCCGGGCGGGCAGGCGAGAGCCCCGCGCCGGCGCGUAGAGCCACCGGACUGCUCCCUUUUGUUGCUGCCAUUUAUUUACCCUUUUUUCUGCCUGGAUAAGAAAACCUGCGGAGACGCCGGGGCCCGGCGCCACGUGGGUUUGCCUCUGGGGAGAAGGUUGUGCCGCGGAGUUUUGUGAGGACGGAGAUUUCGGACUUGGGCUCAAACAGGGCUUUCGUUGUGCCAGUUAAAAAAAAAAAAAUUUAUAUAUGUGUGUAUAUUUAUCAAAAAUCAGCCAAGUUAACUGUAGGCGGUAGCCGAUCCUGGAAUUCGGGGCAUGCAGGGUGCUGGUUGUGUUCUGGAAGGUCGUGGUUGAUAGUUGAGUUGCAGUGAAAGUUCCCGAAAAGAUUCAGAUAUAGCAUAGGGUCCCUGAUUAUUAAUUUUGAUUUAAUUUUAUACAUUUCAUACCUAUAUAGCUCCAAACAAUUGUAGUGUGGGAAUUCUGUUUGUGUUGGUUAAUAGAAAUGCAAAGCAAAUCUUUAAUAAAGUGUUGUGAUAUAAGUUUUGGUAGGUCUACACUCCCAUUCUCCUUUUUCACUAAUGUCUGGGAAGUUUCUGCCUAAUUGUAUCAUUUUGAGAAAUAAUUUCCAGAAUAUUGGUUUAAAUCAGGUUGAUAAUGACAGUGCAUUUGAGAGGAAAUGUUAUGCUACUGCCAGUGAGAGGAGAGCAAACAGAGCCUCAUUGUCUAGUAAAGCAAUUGUCAGGGUACGGUACAGUGUCUACACUGACUUUGCCCAGUUGUGCUUCUUUCUUUAUUCCCUGUUUUAGCAGGGAACGUUUAAGCCACGUUCUGGGAGGGAAUUGUAUGCUGUAAUUUCUUCUGUUGCCCACGUUUUCCCUUUAAGGACAGUUGAAUAAAAGCUAUGUGAAAG